GAAACCUAUCCCAGCAAGUACAGAUGCAAGGCAGGAUACACCCUGGACAACAGGAUGCCCGUACAUCAUAAGGGGAUGACCCCCAAAAGAUGAGUCAUCCAGCAGCACCCAGGAGGCUCAGCAGAGGAGAAAGCCCAGCCAGGUGGCUCAGAGGAGCACGAUGCUCUCAGAUUCCAGCUUGGCGUGUUAACGGAAGCAAAAAGGUGAUGUGAAACAAGUCUCUUUACUGAAAAGAUGUCAGACACAUAUAAUAAGUUUUCCCCUUAUUUAUCAUAAAUGUACCAUUGAUGAACUGAAUACUACGAACUAGUGAUUUCGGCUGAAGAGGGGAGCCCCUCCAAAUCGUUUCUUGUUAAAAGAAACUGUUAAAAUGCUGAAAACAAAAC